AGCAGCCGCGGUAAUUCCAGCUCCAAUAGCGUAUAUUAAAGUUGUUGCAGUUAAAAAGCUCGUAGUUGAAUUUCGGGGUUAGUAGGCUGGUCGUGCCACAGGUAUGCACUGGUCUUACUGAUUCCUCCUUCCUGAUGAACCGUAAUGCCAUUAAUUUGGUGUUGCGGGGAGUCUGGACUGUUACUUUGAAAAAAUUAGAGUGUUUAAAGCAGGCUAACGCUUGAAUACAUUAGCAUGGAAUAACGAAAUAGGACGUUCGAUCCUAUUUUGUUGGUUUCUAGGAUUGACGUAAUGAUUAAUAGGGAUAGUUGGGGGCAUUAGUAUUCAAUUGUCAGAGGUGAAAUUCUUGGAUUUAUUGAAGACUAACUACUGCGAAGGCAUUUGCCAAGGAUGUUUUCAUUAAUCAAGAACGAAAGUUAGGGGAUCGAAGACGAUCAGAUACCGUCGUAGUCUUAACCAUAAACUAUGCCGACUAGGGAUCGGAUGAUGUUAAUUUUUUAAUGACUCAUUCGGCGCCUUACG
rnacentral:rRNA from 1 species